AUUUUAAUUGGAGGAAAAAAACGAGCUAUGAAGUCCGUUUUUGUCGGACCAGCUAGUUCGAAAAAUUAGUUUCAAGGAAAGAAUAAAAAGGAAAUUCAUAUAUAGUCUUUGUAUCUGAUUUCGUUCACCAAUAAAAACCCAAACAUCGAAGCUUGUUCAACCAUCUAACAGCAAAAAUGCAUAAUGUGUUAUAGCUUCCGGUUUUCAACCACAUGAUGGUAUUUUUUUUACUUCUGAGAGUCGUAGGCUUGAAACCGCACAAAAGAAAAUAUCAUAUGCUAUUUUAGAUAUUACCAUUUGCUUUAUAUGUACGCAAGAGUUUGAGUUGUAAUUUUUGAAAAGUUCUCAAAUUGUGAUAAUGGUAUUUAACUAUAUUACAGCGACUUUUCACUUCGACGAAGCUACUUUUGUUCAUUUUUGAUUAAAUGCUUUUCUUUUCGCCUGAACAAACGGAUAAAAUUAUUUUUGUCUCAGUUAAAUAGCUCUCAUAUUUACGCCACCCGACUAUUUUACUCUUUCGCCAGAGAACAACAGAUCGAUAAAUAUCUUCUUUGCUGGCCGUUGUUUUUGAAUAUAGUGUAAAUUACCCGGGUAAAGUCAAUGGAUCCGCCUACUUACGAAGAGUCUUCAACUCAACCACUUGUUGCUGUCGAAUCGCCAGGAAAAACAUCACAAUGGUCCCAGCCAGGGCCAUAUGCACCACAAGUAUGUAGGAUUCAGAUAUCAGUUCGUUUUUCAGCAGUUUCGUGGCUUUAGCCGUUCAUUGUAGAGGUAUACGCAUCAUUUUCUUAUGUUUUGAACAGUUUGCUUGUAUUUUGCAGUAGCUUUCCUGGUUAAGUUAUUAGCCGUGAAUACAUUUUUCGCCAUUCCACGCUAUACUUUUUUGUCCUAUCUCUUAAGCGAGGUUGUAGGAGGAAUGAAAAAUCGUGUAUGAAUGUGUAGCUCAGAAUGUUCCGAAGGUUCUUUGAGAAUAUCUCAAUAGUUUUUGAGAAUCUCGCAACUAACUCAUUUGAUUGCUUUUUGAUGGUCAAUUCAAGUUGAGUAUCUGAUUCAGUACAUUUAGUGAAAAUGUCCAUGCUUUUGGAAGUUAGAGGUCGGGUUGUCUCGAAAUAUCUGAAAUUAUGAUUUUUACUGAUUACCGGAACAAUGAAACAGAUUCUUGUUAUUUUUUGCGUCUUCAAUGAUUACAGGAACAAUGAAAUAAAUUGUUGCUUUUUAAUGCAUCGCAAGUGGCACGAAGCUCCGCUUCGCCUCUGUGUAAGGAAUUAACGCAAUUUUAGAAUGUCUAAAACUCCUUUGAGAAAAUAUAAGAGUCAUGUAUAAAAUCCUCACUUCAUUAAAAAAAAAUAACUAGGGAAAUUAUCAAGGCAUUUAUCUUUGGAAUUGUGCGGCUAGAGCUAAUUAAGUAAAAAUAGAUACAGUAAGCUGCGUUGCCAUGCCAUGGCGCCCAACAAACGGUCAUAGAGUCCUUUGAUUAGGGUUAAUUGAUGCAAUUUUAAUCAUUUGAACUGUAGUUCCUGCUCUGAACAAAGUUAUUCUUUAAGUACAACAAAUUCAAGUAACAAGAGCUUUGUGGGUUAUGGGCUGCAAGUGCUUGAAACUGUUCUGAUUUUUUGUCGCUACUCCCGACAGGGGCGGAUUUAGGAUUUUCUCGAGUGGCGGAGAUCGGAUUUUCAAAAAAUGUUUGAAAAUUUUGUCGACCUUUUUUAGGCCGACCAAAUUGAUUUUCCGAGAACACUUAAAAGACCCUUUUUAGGCCAAGUUUUCUUGCGCCGCAAGCAAAUUUUUGAAAAAACGGGUAGCCGAAAAUGCAUGUCAUAAAAUCAUACCAAAGUGGGAUUCUUUUUGUUGGUUUAGGGUCAAAUCUUUGGAAGAGGAAGAGGCGUCCCCCCCCCCCCCUGAAUUCGCCCCUGAAUCCCUGCCUAAACAGUUGGAAAAUUUUUGUGUGCUACAGUUCCGGUAUCGUUUCUGAUGUUAAGUCUAAAAAUUAAAACUGUGCAAAACAGUUAUUAUUGAGUUGUUUUCGUUUUAUAUCGAGUGUUCAAGGCUACGGCCAUGACAAUAUGUACAAAUCUCCUUCAACAAAUCGGAAUGUAGAUUUUCUUUCUACAAAACGGUUUGUUUUCCGCUUGUAUUUUUUUCGGAGCGGUAGCAAAGUUUGUUUCUGUACCCUCCAGUUUUUUUCAUGCAAGAUGUCCAAUCAACAAAGAGAAAAGAUAGGCUCAAACAUAGUUAUUUUAAACAAAAUUCAAUUCUUGUAGACCAACGGGUAUAAAAACAAAACAAUGUCUCAAAACGAUAGCUUGGAACUUUCUUGGUAUGUAUAUUUUUAUCAGACCCUAGCUCUCCGAACACCCGUACUUACGCCCAGCGCCAUCUAUAGUUAGGUUCAGAAAUUUGCAGAUUCAAUGAGUAACUCUGAACAAUUUUAGUACUGCUUAAAGUUUUGAUCUCUUCAAGCCUGUUAUUGUUCCGAAAAAAGUGAGGAAUAUAUAUGCCUGGGGUGGUUUUUUUUAAUUCAGACCAACUGUACAGCGUAUGGGUAUGGAUUCGGAAAUCUUUGGAUUGCCAAUCGAGCAUAUGCUGUGCUAUACUAAAUUGCGGAUGGCAUCGCUGCUCGAAUAAUACUUUGAUAGUUUCAAUUCGCGAAUUAUUUAUGCGUAACAAAUUAUCCGCUCUCACAAUCGUUUCAAAUUGAAUGGAGGCCAACCAUAGUUGAUCUUAUCAAUUCUUCUCAAUUUGUAGCGCAUGUAUUUGAUAUUGGCAGUACACAUUUCGUUGUUCCGACUUUCGAUACGAAAGUAACAGAAUAUUUGUGCUCGGGUGGGUUUUUUUUUCUUCAGACAAACUUCGGCUUUUUACCUAGCCAUUUUUGACGGAAUUGUUUUAUAUCAUUCAAAAGGUAUUGUUGUCUUGCGCUUAAAUUUGAAAAGAUAUUUCACCUGUGAUCAUUUUUCGUAAAGUUAUGGGGGUUUAAAGAUAGCCAUUUUGGCCAAUUUGGGACAAUUAACGCGCGAUAAAUUUCGCCCUAAUAACGCGUAAGCGGAGAUUUAAUCCGUCUUAGAAAUCGUUCCAAAUUGGUUAAAAGAAGCUUAUUUGCCAUAAUUGAUCUGUUACAAGGAGCGAAAUCAAUCCUUUUGUACUUAAUAUGGCGUGUGGGGGGAUGAUUUUCAUAAAAAAUUUCAAAUUUCAGAAAAAAGUUUUCAUUUUAUUUUAUUACCUUUAAUUUUUUUUAUAGGUUAUUACUGCUCCAAAAACAUUAAAAGGCAGUUGGAACAUUCAGGGCUUCGCCCUGAUACGAGCAGUCUUGUUGUAUAUACAAUUUUUUGAACAAAAAUUAUUCGAGACCAGUUAAGGGUGUUAGUCGGAAUAUUCAGGGCUUUGAUUGAUAUACGAACAGUCUUGUUCAAUUGAAGACUUGAAACUAAAUUAUUCGUUCGGUAAAUUGUUUUCUUCAUUUUUGAGUUGUUCGGCGAAAUAAACAUUGUUAAUUUUAAUCUUUUUACUCGGAUGCUUUUAGUUUGUUAGAAUCAUACUUGAGCAUAUUCUUUACACUUGCGAGAGCAAAAAUAUUGCAACCGUGUACUAGACUUUUUGUUCCGACUUUCGUAACGAAAGUAACGGAAUAUUUGUGCUCGAGAUGGGUUUUUUUCUUCAGACAAAGUUUUGCCACUCCAGACAAAGGUGAAUUCAAGUUUUGUCACUCCUUCUAAUUUUGUCGAAGCCAAAUUCACUUGUAUCUUAUGAUUUGUAAAUCGAAAUCCGCGUUUUUAAUAGUAGAAGUAUGAAAACUCUGUGCACUUUUAAGAAGCCUUCAAUAGAUAGGUGUACAAUCUAAAAAUUUGGCUGAAAAAUAGUUUUUUUAAAGUUGGAAUGUUGUUUGCUUUCUUUCAAACCAAACGCGCAGCGGAUAUCGUCAUCAAAUACCCAUUUGUUCUUUCGAUGAAGUAUUUUGUUACUUUUUCAUGGUUUCAAUGCACUGAAAUACUAUUUUACUUGCGAGCGCAUGUGUGCUUGUAAUCGGAAACUAGGCUUAUUGCUAUUACGCUUUUUUUCUAUAGGAAAUUGACCUUGCUUUACUAUGAAAAAUAAGUAACUUCCAGGCUCCCUCCAGCUGUCACGUGAAAGAGUGCCUGCCGUGGGAUCCUAAGGGUGGGACCGCUCGGACCGUCUUUUCGACAUGCAUGGAGUUUUUUUGUCUAAUUUCGUCUUUCAUAUCGUUUGUCUGCUUAUUUUUUGUCGGCUUUUUUCCAGAGCAUGGACGUUUCUUCUGAUCUAAGCCAUUUUUACUCUAUUUGAAAGUCUUUCUAUAAUUUAUAAAUGUACAGAUUCUGUUUUUGUAUAAUUUUUUUUCGACUUUUUUUUGUUAUAAUGGCUUGGUAACCUUGUAUUGCCUUUUUUGAAGGGCAAGAGUAGGUUUUUAUGCUUUUGUGUGUAAGGCCUGUGUAAGUAUCUUAAUCUGUAAGUAUUUCUUUCAAGCCUUAUUUCUGUAAUUGAUUGAAUUUUUAGAGCUCUUUGCCUUUUUUGCUUGUCUGCGAAGUGCAGCUUCACUUCUGCGUCUGAAUGUAUUCGGUGAUAAUGCUUUAGAGAUAUUCUGUUUCAGCUACAAGGCUCGUCAAGCAUUACAAGGCCUCAUACAAAUAAUCAUUACUCGUUGGUACCAUUAUCAGCUCCUUUGCUGUCCUUCAACAAGAACGAUCAUUUAGGCAUAAUUACAGAAGAGAAGAUUCUGAACGCCUUGGAUGUGUAUUUGGCGAAAAGAAGCUGGUUCUCUAAGCAGCGCGAAAACCCCGGGAUUUUUUAUCGAUCAAGUUUUUCAGGGUAGACUUCAAGCUGAGAUACAAAUUGAGUACGUGGACAGAAAGACGCUUCUCGCUUCCUGAAGAUUCUGAAUAUGCAAGUGAUUUGUGGUCGCACAUUCUGAAGCCGGACAAGCAAUAGUGGACUGGGCACAAAGCUAAGCAUCUUGGAUGGCGAUGGGGCAGAAGGCAUGGUCAAGUUGGAUCAGAACAAGUAGAGUGGCGUGUUAUCGCUGAGUACUCUGUGACAGACGAUUACUAUUUCGAAGGAGUGAGUGUCGGAGUUCCUGAAAAGAAGUUGGAAACAGCAGCGAGAGGAGUUACAAUAUACAAUGACGAAAGCCUUCCAUUUAUUGCACCCCUUCCUCCCUACAAGGCUUCGGCGUAUCUGAACGAUGUUUCAAUUAAACUGCUCAAGGAUCAUCAUGACAGUUUCAUGCAAAGUGUGUUGAAACGUGCGCUCAAGCAAAAACACAGUCUGAUGGCAAUUCCUGUAGCAACAGUAUAUCUGGUCUAUAAGGGAAAGCCAUUCAAGAUGUGUUUAUAUGGAUCUGAACUGAAUAUUCAUUGUCCAGAUAUGGAUUCAUCGUCAUGCUCAACUUUGUAACAAAAAAUCACCCCCAAUCUUCUGGAGAUCACUCGUUCUUUUUUAGUUUUUUGUUUAUUAAGUACUGAUAGCUAAUUGUAAAUAAGAUUAUUUAGUUUCCUAAUGCGAAACAUUUUUCCUGAUGCUCUAAUGAUCUAUAAUAUAUUUAAAUGCGGGCAUCACUAUCUCGCCACGUUUAAUGU